GACGAACGCUGGCGGCGUGCUUAACACAUGCAAGUCGAACGAUGAAGCCGGAGCUUGCUCUGGUGAAUUAGUGGCGAACGGGUGAGUAACACGUGAGUAACCUGCCCUUGACUCUGGGAUAACUGCGGGAAACUGUAGCUAAUACCGAAUACGACCCUCGGAGGCAUCUCCUGGGGGUGGAAAGAAUUUCGGUCAAGGAUGGACUCGCGGCCUAUCAGCUAGUUGGUGAGGUAAAGGCUCACCAAGGCGACGACGGGUAGCCGGCCUGAGAGGGUGACCGGGCACACUGGGACUGAGACGCGGCCCAGACUCCUACGGGAGGCAGCAGUGGGGAAUAUUGCACAAUGGGCGCAAGCCUGAUGCAGCAACGCCGCGUGAGGGAUGACGGCCUGCGGGUUGUAAACCUCUUUUAGCAGGGAAGAAGCGAAAGUGACGGUACCUGCAGAAAAAGCACCGGCUAACUACGUGCCAGCCGCCGCCGUAA
rnacentral:rRNA from 1 species